AUGCUUCUUCCAGCUUCUCUCCAACUCCAGGGCAGGCUGUCAACAAUUAUCUGUCGCUUUCUUUCUUUUUCUUCUUCCAAAGCAUUUUCCAGGUUAACUUCCUUCCCCCUCCCUUUCUGCAGGGUACCUGUUCUCUGGGAGCCCCGUGGGAUACUUGGCACAGCCGCAGCACCCGGAGGAGGGCAGUGGGACUCGGGCUGGGUGAGCUCACAGCAGCAGCUGGCUCAGCCCCGUUCAGCAGGAUUUUGGAGUCUGCCUGCAAAUCUGUCUCCUCGGGCUGCUGCACUAGAGUGGAGAGAGUGGAGAAAACUUCCUGUCCUGAACACUUGUAAAGGAUUUGUUUUUUCUAAAGUUUCAGUAGGAGUGAUUAAUUGCUUUGUCACAGGCCAUAAUAUGGACAUGUGCUCUUAAGUAGUCAUCUUUCUCACUCAUAUACAGUAACCGUCAGAAAACUUCUCUUCAUGUCCAAGACAAUUCACGGGGAGCUAACAAGCCUGCUCUCCCACUCGUAAACUUCAGUUUCAACAUCGCGUGUGAGACAUGUGAAAAGUGGCCCACAGCCUGUAUCUCCUGGCUUCUGUGAGCCAGGGCACGAGGAGGUUUGUGUCCAACUUGCAGUGUGUGUGGCAGGGAGUCAGUCACUUCCACUUGAAUGGAAACUGGUUUUGAAACAUACUUGCCCGAGAGCAAAGCUGGAAGUAAUUAUAUCACAUGAGACCAAAGUUGGAACUGUUGCUGAUAGGCAAUGAAAAACGACUGUCCGUUGAUGGCAGUGCCCAUCCUUUUCUCUUUAUCACAGUGUCUGGUUUACAGUCACUUGGCAGUAAUCGCAGCAGUUAGCAUUUCUCAGCGUUGGAGCCUUUCAGGUUUCAUUCCUUCAGUGCCAUAACUACUGGACUUCCUGACCUGUGCUUUAAAGCCCCUCUUGAGGUGUUGCAAGGCGACAGUUUAGGGAAGAAAUAUGUUCAUUACGCUCGCUGUUACUCCUUUUUUCUCUGCUUAUGGAAUCCACAGCAAUUGCACAAUAGCAACUGAUAAGGAGCCUUGUGAUCUUAAGUGGAGUUACAGUGAGGUACACAAGCCUGUCGCAGUGGUGCCUAAGGGUUUGCAGUUACCUUCAGUAUGUUCAAUGCAUCCAAAGCAGGCCGAAUGAAAAUGGAUUCUUGGGGUGGGUAUUCACUGGGCAUAUAUCCAUGCUGCCAUUUUUGCUUUUUUUUGGUAUUGCUCAAGACCAUUUGUCAGUGCAUUACAGUUCAACGUGCUAUUUUUCUUCCUGUGCCUUUUAGGCAAGUAUCUGAGCCAAUGCCUGCAAAAAGUUUUGCAUAAGGCUGUUAGCAAAAUUCCUACCCGUAGCCACCUACGCUCCUGCUGAAGCCUCUGGCUGAGCAAUCCUGCUGACUUCGGUAGGAAAGGCAGCAGCUACAGACUGCAGCUGAAUCCUGAGAGGUAACAAGUCUGCAGUCAGGCUGUGACUCCCAACAGAAGCAGUUAAUAAACUCAUCACCCAGGAAGGAUGUGUGUGCUUA
ensembl:lncRNA